AACAAAUUAAUAAGUGCAAAUGGCGGAUGCCUAGGCACCAGAAGCCGAUGAAGGUCGUAGGAGGCUGCGAAAAGCCUCGGGGAGCCGCCAACCAGGCUUCGAUCCGAGGAUUACCGAAUGGGGAAACCCGGCUGGAGUAAUGUCCAGUCAUUUCUCUCUGAAUAAAUAGGAGAGUCAAAGGUAACGAGGGGAAGUGAAACAUCUCAGUACCCUCAGGAAGAGAAAACAACCGUGAUUCCGUUAGUAGUGGCGAGCGAAAGCGGAAGAGGCUAAACCAAUCAUGUGCCAAGCCGGCAGGCGUUGCAUGAUCGGUGUCGUGGGACUAAAUGAAAUUAACUGCCGUUAAUUUAACAAGUCAGAAAAUAGUGAAAUAGAUGAAGGACGUGGGAAAGUCCGGCAUAGAAGGUGAGACCCCUGUAGUCGAAAUUUCAUUAUCUUGUUUUUAGUAUCCCAAGUAAUACCGGACUCGUGUAAUCCGGUAUGAAUCUGGCGGGACCACCCGCUAAGCCUAAAUACUCUCUGGUGACCGAUAGUGAACAAGUACCGUGAGGGAAAGGUGAAAAGAACCCCGCAAGGGGAGUGAAAUAGAAUCUGAAACCGUUUGCAUACAAACCGUUGGAGCUGCCUUGUGCAGUGACAGCGUGCCUUUUGAAGAAUGAGUCUACGAGUUAGUGUGAUGUAGCAAGGUUAACCCGUCGAGGGGAAGCCGUAGCGAAAGCGAGUCUGAAUAGGGCGAAUAAGUUGCAUCAUCUAAACCCGAAGCGAGGUGAUCUCGCCAUGACCAGGUUGAAGCGCGGGUAAGACCGCGUGGAGGACCGAACCCACUAAAGUUGAAAAUUUAGGGGAUGAGUUGUGGCUAGGGGUGAAAGACCAAUCAAACUUCGUGAUAGCUGGUUCUCUCCGAAAUGCAUUUAGGUGCAGCGUCACGUGUUUCUUACUGGAGGUAGAGCUACUGGAUGGCCGAGGGGUCCUACAAGAUUACCAACGUCAGCCAAACUCCGAAUGCCAGUAAGUGAGAACGUGGCAGUGAGACAGUGGGGGAUAAGCUUCAUUGUCGAGAGGGAAACAACCCAGAACAGCAACUAAGGUCCCAAAGCCUGUGCUAAGUGGAAAAGGAUGUGAAGUCGCAUAGACAACCAGGAGGUUGGCUUAGAAGCAGCCACCCUUAAAAGAGUGCGUAAUAGCUCACUGGUCAAGUGAUUUCGCGCCGACAAUGUAACGGGGCUCAAGCACAGCACCGAAGUUCUGUCAUUCACACACUAUCCCGGUCGCAAGAUCCAGGAGUGUGGAUGGGUAGGAGAGCGUUGUGUAACUAGUGAAGCGGCGGAGGAAUCCAGCCGUGGAAGUUACACAAGUGAGAAUGUAGACAUGAGUAGCGAAAGACGGGUGAGAAACCCGUCCACCGAAUGACCAAGGGUUCCUGAGCCAGGCUAAUCCGCUCAGGGUAAGUCGGGUCCUAAGGCGAGGCCGACAGGCGUAGUCGAUGGACAACUGGUUGAUAUUCCAGUACCCACAAUAAACCGACCGUGACGAAUCAAUAAUGCUAAGUGUUUGAAGUUGGCUAGCAAUAGCUGAUGGAGCGCACGACCCAAGUUGGUAGUAGUCAAGCAAUGGAGAGACGCAGGAAGGUAGUCCAACCCAGGCGAUGGUUGACCUGGGGUAAGAGUGUAGGAGGUUCUGUAGGAAAAUCCGCAGAACAAUCUCUGAGACUUGAUGCCGAGCCGUAAGGCGAAGUGGAUGAUCCUAUGCUGCCAAGAAAAUCUUCUAGCGAGGUUUAUAGUGGCCCGUACCCGAAACCGACACAGGUGGUCAGGUAGAGAAUACCAAGGUGAUCGAGAGAAUCGUGGUGAAGGAACUCGGCAAAAUACCCCCGUAACUUCGGGAGAAGGGGGGCUAAUUUUUGUGUAGAGGUUUACCUUCGAAGCAUAAGUUAGACGCAGAGAAUAGGCUCAAGCGACUGUUUACCAAAAACACAGGUCCGUGCGAAGUUGCAAAACGAUGUAUACGGACUGACGCCUGCCCGGUGCUGGAAGGUUAAGGGGAUGUGUAGCAUAGGUGGGAGACUUUGAAGCGGCACGCCAGUGUUCGUGGAGUCAAAAAUUGAAAUACCACUCUGAACGUUUUGAGUUUCUAACCUCGGCCCAUUAUCUGGGUCAGGGACAGUGUCUGGUGGGUAGUUUAACUGGGGCGGUUGCCUCCCAAAAAGUAACGGAGGCGCUCAAAGGUUCCCUCAGCCUGGUUGGUAAUCAGGUGUCGAGUGUAAGUGCACAAGGGAGCUUAACUGUGAGACAGACAUGUCAAGCAGGUGCGAAAGCAGGAACUAGUGAUCCGGCGGUGGCUUGUGGAAGCGCCGUCGCUCAACGGAUAAAAGGUACCCC
rnacentral:rRNA from 1 species